rnacentral:rRNA from 1 species
GAUGAACGCUGGCGGCGUGCCUAAUACAUGCAAGUCGAGCGAACUGACGAGAAGCUUGCUUUUCUGAUGUUAGCGGCGGACGGGUGAGUAACACGUGGAUAACCUACCUAUAAGACUGGGAUAACUUCGGGAAACCGGAGCUAAUAACGGAUAAUAUUUUGAACCGCAUGGUUCAAAAGUGAAAGACGGUCUUGCUGUCACUUAUAGAUGGAUCCGCGCUGCAUUAGCUAGUUGGUAAGGUAACGGCUUACCAAGGCAACGAUGCAUAGCCGACCUGAGAGGGUGAUCGGCCACACUGGAACUGAGACACGGUCCAGACUCCUACGGGAGGCAGCAGUAGGGAAUCUUCCGCAAUGGGCGAAAGCCUGACGGAGCAACGCCGCGUGAGUGAUGAAGGUCUUCGGAUCGUAAAACUCUGUUAUUAGGGAAGAACAUAUGUGUAAGUAACUGUGCACAUCUUGACGGUACCUAAUCAGAAAGCCACGGCUAACUACGUG